CGAUCCGGGACAGUGGCGCAGUUAACGCGAUAAGUAGACCGCCUGGGGAGUACGGCCGCAAGGUUAAAACUCAAAUGAAUUGACGGGGGCCCGCACAAGCGGUGGAGCAUGUGGUUUAAUUCGAUGCAACGCGAAGAACCUUACCUGGUCUUGACAUAGUGAGAAUCUCUCAGAGAUGAGAGAGUGCCUUCGGGAACUCACAUACAGGUGCUGCAUGGCUGUCGUCAGCUCGUGUCGUGAGAUGUUGGGUUAAGUCCCGCAACGAGCGCUAACCCUUUUCCUUAUUGCCAGCGGGUAAGCCGGGAAC
rnacentral:rRNA from 1 species